rnacentral:rRNA from 1 species
UGAGGAAUAUUGGUCAAUGGGCGAGAGCCUGAACCAGCCAAGUAGCGUGCAGGAUGACGGCCCUAUGGGUUGUAAACUGCUUUUAUAUGGGAAUAAAGUGAGGGACGUGUCCCUUAUUGCAUGUACCAUACGAAUAAGGACCGGCUAAUUCCGUGCCAGCAGCCGCGGUAAUACGGAAGGUCCGGGCGUUAUCCGGAUUUAUUGGGUUUAAAGGGAGCGUAGGCUGUCUAUUAAGCGUGUUGUGAAAUUUACCGGCUCAACCGGUGGCUUGCAGCGCGAACUGGUCGACUUGAGUAUGCAGGAAGUAGGCGGAAUUCAUGGUGUAGCGGUGAAAUGCUUAGAUAUCAUGACGAACUCCGAUUGCGCAGGCAGCUUACUGUAGCAUAACUGACGCUGAGGCUCGAAAGUGCGGGUAUCAAACAGG